GAAACAGGAAACGGGCAGAGAGAAGAGCCGCUGGUGGGAAGAGGAAAGGCAAACAAAAUGGACCAAAUGAAAGAAGCCAAUGAACAAGACAGGAGCCACGUGACUAAAAACCAAACAUAAGAAUUGAAUAUAGCCAAGAGAUCUCUGUUCCAGGGGAUGUCAAUCCAAGCAGAAAAAGAUACAACAAAUACCUCAACAGCCUCAACAGUUACAACCAGGACCGAUCGCGAUGAAGAUGUACAAACAGCUGCCGACGCGGUCCAGGAGAUUUACUUCAUGACACCAGAGGAUCCAAGACAGAAGAGGGCCGCAUAAGUCACGAUGAGCCUCAUCCUUAUUAGGAUUAAAAAAUGAAGGCUGGAGACAUUCAACAAGACCUGCCUCAGUUCAGGCUAAUUCUGAGUCAUUGGAGUCCAUGUUCUUCUGAAUUCCAGAGUCUGUUCCCUGAGCCAGCAUUUCCUACCUCACCCAGGCGUUUCUCCAGAGUGAGCAUGAGAGAGACAUUUUCAUUUGCAGUGCAUCCUUCUCGAGACAAAUUCGGUGUUUUCUGGUGGUGAUUGGGGGCAAACUCCCAAGCAUUUGAAGUUCUCUCCAUUACGAGAGGGCUCUGGGAGAUGCCACUGGGGUCUGUA